CCUACGGGGUGCAGCAGUGGGGAAUAUUGCACAAUGGGCGCAAGCCUGAUGCAGCAAUGCCGCGUGUGUGAAGAAGGUCUUCGGAUUGUAAAGCACUUUCGACGGGGACGAUGAUGACGGUACCCGUAGAAGAAGCCCCGGCUAACUUCGUGCCAGCAGCCGCGGUAAUACGAAGGGGGCUAGCGUUGCUCGGAAUGACUGGGCGUAAAGGGCGCGUAGGCGGUUUAUGCAGUCAGAUGUGAAAUCCCCGGGCUUAACCUGGGAACUGCAUUUGAGACGCAUAGACUAGAGGUCGAGAGAGGGUUGUGGAAUUCCCAGUGUAGAGGUGAAAUUCGUAGAUAUUGGGAGGAACGCCGGUGGCGAAGGCGGCAACCUGGCUCGAUACUGACGCUGAGGCGCGAAAGCGUGGGGAGCAAACAGGAUUAGAUACCCCGUAGUC
rnacentral:rRNA from 1 species